AGCAAUACUUCUGGCGGCGACCGGCGGAAGGGUGCGUAACGCGUGAGCAACAUGCCCGUAUCUGGGGGAUAAGCAUUGGAAACGGUGUCUAAUAUCCCAUAACAUCAGCAGUCACAUGGAUGUUGAUUGAAAGCUACGGCGGAUACGGAUUGGCUCGCGUGACAUUAGCUAGUCGGCGGGGUAACGGCCCACCGAGGCGACGAUGUCUAGGGGUUCUGAGAGGAAGGUCCCCCACACUGGAACUGAGACACGGUCCAGACUCCUACGGGAGGCAGCAGUGAGGAAUAUUGGUCAAUGGGCGGAAGCCUGAACCAGCCAUGCCGCGUGAAGGAAUGAGGCCCUAUGGGUCGUAAACUUCUUUUGUGGCGGAGCAAUAAGUGCUACGUGUAGCGCGAUGAGAGUACGUCACGAAUAAGCAUCGGCUAACUCCGUGCCAGCAGCCGCGGUAAUACGGAGGAUGCAAGCGUUAUCCGGAUUUAUUGGGUUUAAAGGGUGCGUAGGCUGUGCCGCAAGUCGGGGGUGAAAGCCCGGGGCCCAACCCCGGGAUGUGCCCUUGAUACUGCGGCGCUGGAGUUCGGAUGCCGUGGGAGGAAUGAGUAGUGUAGCGGUGAAAUGCAUAGAUAUUACCCAGAACACCGAUUGCGAAGGCAUCUCACGAAUCCGACACUGACGCUGAGGCACGAAAGCGUGGGGAUCAAACAGGAUUAGAUACCCUGGUAGUCCACGCAGUAAACGAUGAUGACUAACUGUCGGCGAUAAACAGUCGGUGGCCAAGCGAAAGCGAUAAGUCAUCCACCUGGGGAGUACGUUCGCAAGAAUGAAACUCAAAGGAAUUGACGGGGGCCCGCACAAGCGGAGGAACAUGUGGUUUAAUUCGAUGAUACGCGAGGAACCUUACCCGGGCUCGAACGGCUGGUGAACGACCCAGAGAUGGGAAGGCCCUUCGGGGCGCCAGUCGAGGUGCUGCAUGGUUGUCGUCAGCUCGUGCCGUGAGGUGUCGGCUUAAGUGCCAUAACGAGCGCAACCCUUGCCGCCAGUUACCAGCAAGUGAAGUUGGGGACUCUGGCGGGACUGCCACCGCAAGGUGUGAGGAAGGCGGGGAUGACGUCAAAUCAGCACGGCCCUUACGUCCGGGGCGACACACGUGUUACAAUGGCGGCCACAGAGGGAAGCCACCCAGCGAUGGGGAGCGAAUCCCGAAAAGCCGCCUCAGUUCGGACUGGAGUCUGCAACCCGACUCCACGAAGCUGGAUUCGCUAGUAAUCGCGCAUCAGCCAUGGCGCGGUGAAUACGUUCCCGGGCCUUGUACACACCGCCCGUCAAGCCAUGAAAGCCGGGGGUG
rnacentral:rRNA from 1 species